rnacentral:rRNA from 1 species
GGGUCCGGACACACUGAGGAUUGACAGGCAAUAUUAAUUUCGCUUCGGCGAUUUUAUGUUAAAUAUGCUAGUCCUUUCAUGAUUAUGUGAUAGGUGGUGCAUGGCCGUUCUUAGUUCGUGGAGUGAUCUGUCUGCUUAAUUGCGUUUCACUAAGGGCCUAUAAUUUAACGUGUGUUGCGGCACUUUGACCCCUCUUCGCGGAGGGUGCGUCUUAGCUUGUUUAGCUCACACAAUUAGGUCCUGAAAGCAACGAACGUGACCGCAACCUCUUGUUGCCUUUAUACCAAACACAGUCUGACCUUCUUCACUGAAGGGCUGCCGUGAAAAAAGGCUUUUUAAACUAGAGGGACCGCUGUUACUUUCUUAAACCAGAGGAAGGUUGCGGCAAUAACAGGUCUGUGAUGCCCUUAGAUGUUCCGGGCUGCACACGUGCUACAAUGAUUAUUGCAGUGAGCAUCUCAUUUUUUACACACCGCAUUCACGAGUCCAUUUAUUCAUUCCUUCGGGUUUGCUUUAAAUGUGCAUCUCUGUGAGCGGUAAAGCCUGCUUCGAAAGUAAGUGGGU